GGGCGCGUAGCUCAGCUGGUAGAGCAGCGGACUCUUAAUCCGCGGGUCGUCGGUUCGAUCCCGACCGCGCUCA
rnacentral:tRNA from 1 species